GUUGUCUCUUCCUGUGUGAACUACGUCCCAGGAGCCUACAGAAAAGCGCUGGCUUCUCAAGCCCCUAGGAAGGUGCCUGGCUCCUCCACCUUUGUCACCAGUUCUUCAAGUUCGUCGAGAAAAGCUGAAAAUAAGUAUGCAGGAGGGAACCCAGUCUGUGUGCGCCCAACUCCCAAGCGGCAAAAAGGCAUCAGGGAAUUCUUCAGGCUGUCCGCUAAAGAGUCUAAAGAGGAGAGCCAGAUUCCUGAAGAAGCAGGAAGCAGUGGCUUAGGAAAAGCAAAGAGAAAAGCUUGUCCUUUGCAACCUGAUCACAGAGAUGAUGAAAACGAA
rnacentral:lncRNA from 1 species